ensembl:lncRNA
GUGAGGGCGUUCAAUAACACCAGGUUUCAAAAGUAUAGCUGGUUAACAGGGAGCCUUUCAUCAAGCGGUCUGUAUUUCUGGCCUUGCCUGUGUUUUUGGGCAUGCGAGAAUUUGCUUUUAGAGGACACGAUGAGAUGAAAAGUUCUGCUGACAAGGUCAACUACAAAGAGCUUGCAGAGAGGUGAUGACUACUCCGCUCCACUCCCUUUGUCUCCUCACAUGAACUGAAGCCACGUCUCAUGUGCCCACUCAUCCACUGGCACAUUGAAUGUUUCCCCUCCAAGCAUUUCAAAUCCUGUCCUACACUGGUCAAGCCUCUGAACACCUCAACUCAUGCGUCAUACCCUCAUUCAAUCACUGCUGUUAUCCCUUUCUCACACGGUCUGUAAGGCACUAGUUUUGGGCAGUCUGCAGGGAUGACCUAUGGACUUCUGCGGAUAAACUGACUAUCUCGAGGGACAAUCAAGGCGAAACAACAAGGUGGUGGACGGAAUUGCAGAAUCUCCACAUGAGACCUAGAUGGAAUCUGAGGACAAAGUGAGGUAAAUGAUCUCUGAGAAAUUGAAGAUGGACCACAGGAGAAUUGAGGUGGAACGUGCCCACAGGACUGGAAAACCCACCACCGGCCCAGGUGAUAGGCUCAGGCCGAUAGUGGUCAAGUUCCUGAGGUUCAAGGACAAGGUAGCUGUUCUGGAAAGAGCCAUGAACUUGAGAGGACUAUCCUGAAGCUCUGCGCCAGAAGAGGAAAGAACUGCUCCCAGCCAAUGAAAGCUGCCAGAGCGCGUGGGGAUAUUGCAUACAUCCGCUACGACAAGCUCAUUGUCCACCCUCCCUCCCAGAAGCCUGGAAGGGAUGAGAGAGCCACAAGCCUAUGGGUUCGUAGCCUCAACCCCGCAGCACACACACACACACACACACACCAAUUGAUUAAUGGACUGCUG